UUAAGUUAAUAAGGGCGCACGGUGGAUGCCUUGGCACUAGAAGCCGAUGAAGGACGUGACUAACGACGAAAUGCUUUGGGGAGCUGUAAGUGAGCAAUGAUCCAGAGAUGUCCGAAUGGGGGAACCCGGCAGGUAAUGCCUGUCACUCAUUACUGUUAAGGUAAUGUAGAGGAAGACGCAGUGAACUGAAACAUCUAAGUAGCUGCAGGAAGAGAAAGCAAAAGCGAUUGCCUUAGUAGCGGCGAGCGAAACGGCAAGAGGGCAAACCGAAGAGUUUACUCUUCGGGGUUGUAGGACUGCAACGUGGACUUAAAGAUUAUAGAAGAACUACCUGGGAAGGUAGGCCAAAGAGAGUAAUAGCCUCGUAUUCGAAAUAGUCUUUAUACCUAGCAGUAUCCUGAGUACGGCGAGACACGAGAAAUCUCGUCGGAAUCUGGGAGGACCAUCUCCCAACCCUAAAUACUCUCUAGUGACCGAUAGUGAACCAGUACCGUGAGGGAAAGGUGAAAAGCACCCCGGGAGGGGAGUGAAAUAGAACCUGAAACCGUGUGCCUACAACAAGUUCGAGCCCGUUAAUGGGUGAGAGCGUGCCUUUUGUAGAAUGAACCGGCGAGUUACGAUAUGAUGCGAGGUUAAGUUGAAGAGACGGAGCCGUAGGGAAACCGAGUCUUAAUAGGGCGCAUUAGUAUCAUGUCGUAGACCCGAAACCAUGUGACCUACCCAUGAGCAGGUUGAAGGUGAGGUAAAACUCACUGGAGGACCGAACCAGGGCACGUUGAAAAGUGCUUGGAUGACUUGUGGGUAGCGGAGAAAUUCCAAACGAACUUGGAGAUAGCUGGUUCUCUCCGAAAUAGCUUUAGGGCUAGCGUCGAUGUUAAGUCUCUUGGAGGUAGAGCACUGUUUGGGUGAGGGGUCCAUCCCGGAUUACCAAUCUCAGAUAAACUCCGAAUGCCAACGAGAUAUAAUCGGCAGUCAGACUGCGAGUGCUAAGAUCCGUAGUCGAAAGGGAAACAGCCCAGACCACCAGCUAAGGUCCCAAAAUAUAUGUUAAGUGGAAAAGGAUGUGGGGUUGCACAGACAACUAGGAUGUUGGCUCAGAAGCAGCCAUUCAUUCAAAGAGUGCGUAAUAGCUCACUAGUCGAGUGACCCUGCGCCGAAAAUGUACCGGGGCUAAAACAUAUUACCGAAGCUGUGGAUACCUUUAUAGGUAUGGUAGGAGAGCGUUCUAUGUGCGAAGAAGGUGUACCGUGAGGAGUGCUGGAGCGCAUAGAAGUGAGAAUGCCGGUAUGAGUAGCGAAAGACAGGUGAGAAUCCUGUCCACCGUAAGACUAAGGUUUCCAGGGGAAGGCUCGUCCGCCCUGGGUUAGUCGGGACCUAAGGAGAGACCGAAAGGUGUAUCCGAUGGACAACAGGUUGAUAUUCCUGUACUAGAGUAUAUAGUGAUGGAGGGACGCAGUAGGCUAACUAAACCAGACGAUUGGAAGUGUCUGGCCAAGCAGUGAGGUGUGAUAUGAGUCAAAUGCUUAUAUCUAUAACAUUGAGCUGUGAUGGGGAGCGAAGUUUAGUAGCGAAGUUAGUGAUGUCACACUGCCGAGAAAAGCUUCUAGCGUUAAUUAUACUCUACCCGUACCGCAAACCGACACAGGUAGUCGAGGCGAGUAGCCUCAGGUGAGCGAGAGAACUCUCGUUAAGGAACUCGGCAAAAUGGCCCCGUAACUUCGGGAGAAGGGGCGCUGACUUAUGGUCAGCCGCAGUGAAUAGGCCCAAGCAACUGUUUAUCAAAAACACAGCUCUCUGCUAAAUCGUAAGAUGAUGUAUAGGGGGUGACGCCUGCCCGGUGCUGGAAGGUUAAGAGGAGUGCUUAGCAAUAGCGAAGGUAUGAAUUGAAGCCCCAGUAAACGGCGGCCGUAACUAUAACGGUCCUAAGGUAGCGAAAUUCCUUGUCGGGUAAGUUCC
rnacentral:rRNA from 1 species